AACGCGAAGAACCUUACCUGGUCUUGACAUCCACGGAAGUUUUCAGAGAUGAGAAUGUGCCUUCGGGAACCGUGAGACAGGUGCUGCAUGGCUGUCGUCAGCUCGUGUUGUGAAAUGUUGGGUUAAGUCCCGCAACGAGCGUAACCCUUAUCCUUUGUUGCCAGCGGUCCGGCCGGGAACUCAAAGGAGACUGCCAGUGAUAAACUGGAGGAAGGUGGGGAUGACGUCAAGUCAUCAUGGCCCUUACGACCAGGGCUACACACGUGCUACAAUGGCGCAUACAAAGAGAAGCGACCUCGCGAGAGCAAGCGGACCUCAUAAAGUGCGUCGUAGUCCGGAUUGGAGUCUGCAACUCGACUCCAUGAAGUCGGAAUCGCUAGUAAUCGUGGAUCAGAACGCCACGGUGAAUACGUUCCCGGGUCUUGUACACACGC
rnacentral:rRNA from 1 species